UAUUGUACCAGUCAAAUAUAACGCGUAUAAUAAACGUGUACCUAAUGCGUCGGUCGGAAACGCGUAAAAUGUAUUGUCUACGAGACCGUUCAAAAUAUUAUUGUAUUGUGCGUUGAGUGUUAACAACGAACACACACGGGCACGGCGCGUAUUCUAUUCCGCGCUAGCGAAAUACGAGUAUAUUCUGAAUAUUUCAGGUAAAUGCUUAUUUUUUCUCUUAAAGUAUUCAAUGCUGUGUGUUCCGAACGGUUUCGAAAAGUAUUUUACUCCUUGAAAAAAAAAUAUAAUCACUUUUCGUCACUCUCGUUUCAGAGUGUUGAACGUUUCACUGUGCCGUACGUAUAAGACGCGCGCUUUAUUUUUCCUAUUAUUUCGAUUGAAAUUAUUUUUGAAAUUCCCAACAGCCGUUCGCCGCCGCCGGAUCUUCGUCCUUUAUUUACGAUUCGUUUCUCGGAACGCUCUUGUUAUCAUUUACAUUCAAAAGUAUAAUAAAUACCUACUUGUACCGAGUCUCCCACGAAGAUAUACCCGUUGAGAUAUCACAAUGGGUAUAUCUUCGUGAGACACCCAGUAUACCUAUAAUAAUAUAUAUAUAUAUAUAUAUAUGUUUAGGUGUGUAUGACCCGGAAACGUGUGCGGUCACAUUAAUAUACAGGAUUUACGAGGGGGAGAGGGAGGCGGAGGGGGUGGCGGGCUAAUAUCAAUUCCUGUGUAAUAUUUCGAGUUAUAUAGAAAUUAUAGGUGCACACGUGUACGCAGCCGGUUGAUGGACAUUUUAAAAAUAAUAAUUUCUUUGUCCGCGCGUCACGCUAUAUAUUAUUUUAUACACACACACAUAUAUAUAUAUAUAUUUAUAGAGUAAUACGUUUGUAUGGACAUUAAUGACUAAUGCCAUAAAUAUACGUUUCGUUUUUUGUCCGCGUUGAACGACGCAGAGAUAAAAAAAAAAAAAAAAACCAUAAUAUAAUAAUACUCGAGAUAGUUUGAAUUCCUCGAUGUUAUGUAUAUUGUAUACAAUACUCGUAUACCGUAUAAUAUAGCGUUCUACAAACCGUAUUAUUUAUCAACGGAUUCGCGUCGUUAAAAGCCCAGAGAGAAAAUAACGUUUUGAAACAAAUUCCUCGAUAUUAUAUACGUAUACGAUAUUAUUGUUAACCGUCGCCGGAGUGUACGGACUGAGAAAUACACAAGAGCUUAUUAUGCGUACGGCGUUAAAAAAAAAAAAAAAAAAAAAAAAUCAUAAUUCGGUUUUUCCACUUUUUCACGAGCGGAAUAAAAGUAAAUACAGAGUGGUGCAAUAUAUUGUAACAAACUGAAACUGUACCGAUAAUAUCGGCGCGUCGAUUUUUAUUGUUCGGUUUAAAAAUAAAUAAGUAAGAAACGCGGUCUUUUCUCUUUUUUUUUUUUUUCUACAACCGAUUAACUCUUACGGCGUGCGUCAUCGAGACCGUGACAAGGCUUUUAGGCGCACAAGAACGAAAUUUGAAAAAAAAAAAAAAAAAAUGUCAAAAUCAAGAAUUUAUUAACUCUGAUUAUUUUUUUGUUUUUUUAGUCGAAUCAAUCGUCGAAAAUAUGUCCUACAACGGCGUUACGGCACCGCUAUUGAUUGCAUUGAAUUGAAUGGCCGUGAAUUAUUACAAUAAAUAGCCUAACCUAAAUGUGCAGG